AACAUAAAUGGGACGAUCAUGUCGCUGACUUCUUCUGAUGUUAAUUUGGAGAUGCAAUGCGUUAUGCAGUGUACCCUCGAACCCGACAUCUGGAGAAGAUUAAGAGAACCCAUAGAAAAGCCUUGGAACUCAUCGAAUUUUUAGCCCGCGACCCGAGAAACAUGGAGUUCUACGUGCUGGGAAGAAAACAAGGUGACGGCGGAGCUCCUGCAGCAGGCUUUCGAGAAAGAGGUGCGCGACAAGAUCAACUUAACGCACCGGCUGCGUCUACCAGAAGAUGGAAUGAGCCACCCUUGAUCUUGGGUGCACAAAUGGGCAUUCCCGAGUUCGUCAGUACGAUCUUACGAAUGUGUCCGCAGGCAGCUGCGUACCUGGACACCCGUGGCCGAAGCGUUCUCCAAGUAGCAAUAGAGCAUGGUAACCGAGAGAUUGUGAGAACUAUACGUGAGAUGACUCAGGGGAAGAAUCCCAUACUACCAUUCUGGCUACUGUCCCGCGUCGACAAAAGGACCGGAAGAACUAUCCUGCACUUGGCUUCGGCAAAUGCCCCCGAGCAUAACCAAGAUGCUCUACAAUUGCAAGAUGAAUUAAGAUGGUUUGAGACGGUGAGAGAUAUGGUUCCUAAGGAAUUAGUGUAGAGUCGAAACGCGCAAGAGAUGACCGCAGAAGAGAUGUUUACUCUUGAGUCACCAAGCUUUGCUCAAGAAUUGCAAGGUUCAACUAAUGGAAACGGGCAGGAUGUGUUCAGGGCUGGUCGCAGCUGUAGUGUUCGCGUCGAGCUUCUCAGUCCCCGGCGAUAAGGACCCAGCCACCGGCAACUCCGUUUACUACGGUAGGGGCUUUUACGGUCUUCUCACACACGUACGUGUUUGGGCUUUCAUGCGCCGCGACAUCUCUGGUGUUGUUCUUAUCCCUCGCCAUGUCACCUUACAAGGAACAGCAGUUCCGUCGUAUCAUCCCAAUCAAAUACUUCUUUGCCCGCUCGUCGUUUGGGUUGGCGAUGUUGUAUUUUCUGGUGGCGUUCACCUGCAACAUCUACCUACAGUUAUUUGGCUGGCAGAAGACGAAGUCGAAGGACUCGAUUCCAUUCGUAUUGGAGCUCACCGUCUUCCCUGUCUUCUGUUUCCUAGUGUUGUUUCUUUCGUGGCUUCACCUUCGAUCUAUCUUUCCUUUUUCGUUCUUGGCGUUGAGUCAACAAGCAUGAUCGUCCACAUCUUUGGAAUCUGCAGCUUCACGAUGUGCGUGGGUUAUACCUAUUACGGUAUGCCACCUGUACUAGGGGUAUGUGGCGGUAGUUGUCAUUGGACAGUUAAAUAUCUUGUGUGUACAAGCAGCGACAAAGGCAUGUGGUGUAUGGACGCUAUUUGAUUGCAACUUUAAUGUGGUUUUUUAUCUUC